GAUGAAGAACGUAGCGAAAUGCGAUAAGUAAUGUGAAUUGCAGAAUUCAGUGAAUCAUCGAAUCUUUGAACGCACAUUGCGCCCGCCAGUAUUCUGGCGGGCAUGCCUGUUCGAGCGUCAUUUCAACCCUCAAGCCCAGCUUGGUGUUGGGGAUCGGCACAGGCGCCCUCGGGCGCCCGCCGUCCCCUAAAUCUAGUGGCGGUCCCGCUGCAGCCUCCUCUGCGUAGUAGCACAACCUCGCAACGGGAACGUGACGGCGGCCACUGCCGUAAAACAACCCCAAUUUUAUUAGAGUUGACCUCGAAUCAGGUAGGAAUACCCGCUGAACUUAAGCAUAUCAAUAAGCGAGGA
rnacentral:misc_RNA from 1 species